CAGAUUUCUACUACACUAAACAAGAGACCACUGCAGAUAUAGCACCAGAUACAACAGUUCUAACAAAAACUGCUGCAGAGACCACUGCAGAUAUAGCACCAG